CACGAAAGGCGUAACGAUCUGGGCACUGUCUCGGAGAGAGACUCAGUGAAAUAGACAUGUCUGUGAAGAUGCGGACUACCUGCACCUGGACAGAAAGACCCUAUGAAGAUUUACUGUUCCAUGGGAUUAUCUUUGGGUUUUUCUUGCACAGCUUAGGUGGAAGGCGAAGAAGGCUCCCUCUCGGGGGGGCCUGAGCCACCAGUGAGAUACCACUCUGGAAGAGUUAGAAUUCUAACCUUAUGUCAAGACCUACGGGCCAAGGGACAGUCUCAGGUAGACAAUUUCUAUGGGGCGUAGGCCUCCCAAAAGGUAACGGAGGCGUGCAAAGGUUUCCUCGGGCCGGACGAAAAUCGACCCUCGAGUGCAAAGGCAGAAGGGAGAUUGACUACAAGACCCACCCGUCGAGCAGGGAUGAAAGUCGGCCUUAGUGAUCCGACGGUGCCGAGUGGAAGGGCUGUCGCUCAACGGAUAAAAGUUACUCUAGGGAUAACAGGUUGAUCUUCCCCAAGAGUUCACAUCGACGGGAAGGUUUGGCACCUCGAUAUUGGCUCUUCGCCACCUGGGGCGGUAGUACGUUCCAAGGGUUGGGCUAUUCGCCCAUUAAAGCGGUACAUGAGCUGGGUUCAGAACAUCGUGAGAUAGUUCGUUCCAUAUCCAGUGCGGGCGUUAGAGCAUUGAGAGGACCUUUCCCUAGUACGAGAGGACCAGGAAGGACGCACCUCUGGUGUACCAGUUAUCAUGCCCACGGUAGACGUUGGGUAGCCAAGUGCAGAGCGGAUAACUACUGAAAGCAUAUAAGUAGGAAGCCCACCCCAAGAUGAGUGCUCUCCUAUUCUUACUUCC
rnacentral:ncRNA from 1 species